CUCCGCCCUUCCGCGUUCAGCCAAUUGCUGAUCAUUUCCGUUCCCUGUCCUUCCGGAUCAAUCGACAAUCACAAAAGAAAAUUCUCAGAGAGGGAUUCAUUUCUCCUGGAGUCAUUGAGCAGCAAGCACUAUAUUGAUCAUUCCUUGGCCCUUUCUGAAGCAACUCUGGCUCUCAGGUGUUGACAUUGACAAAGAGAAUGGCCACUUCAUCAUGUGAAACAGAGGAGGAAGAGGGAGAAGGAAGAGAUACUAGCAAAAUCACCUGACUAAUGUUACAUAAGGAGAAGAGAAUAAGGAGCUCUUUGUGAAUGACCUCAAUUUUUUUCUAAUGUGAUGGACCAACACACUUACCAAAUGAAUCUGAACAAUCAGGAGAUGUGAGUGGUUAAGAUAAAAGGAUGCCUUUCUCUUCACCAUAGCAACAGGGAACUAGAAUGUUUUUUUUUCUAUUCCAAGGAAGGUCAGAGAUGGUGAGGUGAGAUGAUAAGAUAUGUCCUUGUCCUUUUUCCUCCUCCUCUUCCCUCCAGAGGGAAAAAAAAAAGAAAAUUUUAUGGGGAAUGGUACUUUCUUCUAUUAUGUAGGUUGGAUUUGUAUCCAACUGUUGGUUGGUUGCUCCCUUAUCUAACCUCCAGUCUUUAAAAGGAAAAGGAAUAUUGAAACAGGUUCUUUUACCUGAUUGUGCUUCCCACCUCAUACUGGCUUUGCCUCCAGUCUAUCUCCUUUGGGAAGAAAAAUGAUGCCUUCCAUUCAGUAAGAUCCUUCUCAUAUCUAGUUACACCCUACAUAGAACAAUCUAAAUCCCUACAGGUCUUCAUUCAAAUCCAGUUCUCUGCCCCUACCAACAAAUUUCUUUUUCCCAUUCCCCUCAACCUACUCCCCCAAAGUUUUGGUCAAACAUCACCCAUCCCUUCCACUGUGCCCUCUGUAAUGCUUGUUCCAUGGCAACAAACUUUCCUUCUUUCUAAAUCUUUUUCUCUCCAAUCUAUUUGCUUUUAUUAAAAUCUAACUUCUCCUUGAUGAACACAAACUCUAAACAUCCUUUCCAGUAUUGUCCUUACCUUCAUUCAUUCUCUUUAGCUUAGUGGUCAACAUAAGGGACUUGGAAUAUUCCUUGUUCCCAUUACUAGGGUCUUCCUCCAUCACUCGGUAAUCUCUCCUCCUUUAAGCUUUAUGUUAGAAUCUACCAUCAACAUUCUAGCAGUUGUUCUCUGUAGACCCCCAAGUCAAAACCCUUCCUCAGUUAAUAUGUGGCUGGUAAUUUUUGUCUUCUCCCCAAAUCCUACUCUCAUAUUAGGGCACUUCAGUAUAUUAGUAAAGAGAGCACUGAUCUGAAUUCAAGAAGACCUGAGUUCAAAUCUGGUCUCAUAUUUACUAGAUGUGUGAUUCUAGGUAAGUCAAUUAACUGCUGUUUGCCUCUGUUUCCUCAUUUAUAAAAUGGAGAAAGUAGCACCUACCUCCCAAGGUUGUUGCAAAGAUCAAAUGAGUUCAUUUUAAAGGGCUUAGCACAGUGCUUGGCACAUAGCAAACACUGUGUAAAGGUAAUUAUUAUUACUUUGUUAUCAUUAUCUUGCACUAGACACUCCUCUUUUCCCCAUCUUAAUCUCUUGAUGAAGUAAUUCAAUUCUGUGCUGUCCUCUUUUGAGUCCCUAAUCCCCAUAACAUUGUGCUAAUCGUGUUGUGCUGAGUCUCAGCCUUGGAUCGAUCCCAUCAUUCGCCACUCAUUUCUUGCUGUCCCCAAAUAUGACCACAUCUUCUCCAUCCUGAAUAAACCCUAACGUGUUCUUUUUAUUCCCACAAACUAUCAUAGCAUUUGCCUAUUUUUGCUAACCUUUUUAAAAAGACUAUUAUAGUGCCUUUAAUUUUUAUUUUCUCUUUCCAAUCCCUUACAAUCGGGUUUCUGACAUUCCACUGAAAUUACUCUCUUCAAACUUAGCCAUGAUCUUUUUGUUGUCAUAUCUAAUGGACAUUUCUCAAUCUUCAUUCACCUUGACCUACCUUUGAUAUUACUGAUCACUUUCCCUCCUUGAUAAUCUUUUCUUUCUAGGUUUUAAGAACAUUAUUCUAGUUCUCUACCUAUUGCCUCACCUGUCUUCCUUAGAGUCCCAAGUGAAACAACAUCUUUAGGAAGCUUUUCCCAACCCCAACUAACUUAAUUGUAGUACUUCCCCCUUUAUUAUUUCCUAUUUAUCCUAACAUGUUUUGUAUAGAUUUGUUUGUUGACUCCCUCAAUAGAUUGAGAGUCCUUUGAGGGCAAAGAUUGUUUUUUGCCACUUUCUGUAUCCCUAGUACUUAGCAGUGCCUGGUACAUGGCAGAUGCUUAAUGUAUGUUUAUUGACUGCCUAGAAAUCAGGCAAUAAAUGCCAGACAUUUUAGUAAGCUAUCUUUAUUUCCUCUUCCUAUCCCAUUGGAGGCUAGGGACCAAGCAACACUCUCAUGGAGAACAAGCAGAAGAUAGUAAUGUUUUCUUCUCUCUUCUUCCUUCCUGAUGUACAUACUUCUAUACUCUUCCCACCUCCACUGGAGAACAAGUAAGUCACUCCUGAAGAACAUACAGGAUAUAGCAAAUGAUGUCACAAAAGAUUAAGAUACCUGCCUCUCUAUUUCUGAUUGAACUUCUUCACCAUGUCCCAGAAACCUUUUCAGCCAGGACUCUCAUUUCAUCUCUAGAACUCACCUCAGAAGGACAUUUUACUUCUGAGGACUUCCUCUGGUUGCAUGGCUCCUCACAGAACCUCCUUUUAAAAUAUUCUAAGUCAUACAUCUCUUUCCCAGGCAGCACUCUUCUGUAUUUUUCCAUUAUGCCCCUUCACCAAGUAACUGUUUUUCUUUUCCCUACUACUUUCUUUCUCUUUAUUUACUCUCCAUCCUAACCAAACUGAGCUACCUGGUAUUUACUGAAGUUGGCAUUUCAUAUUUCUGAUUCUCACCCAUGCCCUUAUUUGCUCUCACCUUGACUUCUUAAGAGUCCCUUUUUUCCUUUAAAAUGCAUCUCAUACCACUUUGUACCACUUUCUUGGGGAAUUCUUUUCCUUAAUUGUUAAAAAUCUCAAAUUGGAAUUAUACUGAUCUGUAAUUUCUUGAAUGAAAGGAUCUUUUGUUUUCACAUUUCCAACACCUAAAAUGUUGUCUUGAUCAUAUGAUUGAUUGAAUUAAAUAAAAAUGAGAAGACAUUGCAUGUAAUCACAAUGGUUCCAAUGUGACCUCUUUAAGCAAGCUUUUAAGCUUGCCCUUUUUUUUU